CUACUGAAAUAGAACUCCCAGGAGGUAACAGCGUGUCACACAUGUGAUGUCAUAACCAUUGUCCACCAAAGAGCAGCAAUGAGCAGAAAUAACACGGCUCCUGUUCAUUCUCCAUCAGUGAGGGGCCGGUGCUGGACACUGUGUAGGGACGCGGGAAUGCAAAGUCAUGCACAUGACUGUGACUGAUGCACUAUCUCCAGGACAUGGAGUAGCAUUUCCGGACCUACAGCAAGACGUUGGAUGAAGGCAUAGCCCCAGAAAUAACACUGGUCCUGUUCAUCAGUGAGGGGCCGGUGCUGGACACUGUGUAGGGACGCGGGAAUGCAAAGUCAUGCACAUGACUGUGACUGAUGCACUAUUUCCAGGACAUGGAGUAGCAUUUCGGGACCUACAGCAAGACGUUGGAUGAAGGCAUAGCCCCAGAAAUAACACUGGUCCUGUUCAUCAGUGAGGGGCCGGUGCUGGACACUGUGUAGGGACGCGGGAAUGCAAAGUCAUGCACAUGACUGUGACUGAUGCACUAUUUCCAGGACAUGGAGUAGCAUUUCGGGACCUACAGCAAGACGUUGGAUGAAGGCACAGGCCUAGGAAUCAUGCACAUACACAGAAACAUUUGCCCAAAUUCUAGAGGUAACCUCCUUUAGUAUGCCCAGAGGAAGGGCCAUACAGUAGCCAUGGAUUCCCUACAGGUUUCCUCCCCUCUGGAGGUUUUUCCUGUCCUGAGUAUUAGUUACUGUCCGCUCUUUGUGAGUGAUGGGAGGUUACAAAAAAUCCCCUACACAAACAUUUUAAUAAAUAAUAAAUAAAGUUCCCCUUUUUUUAAACUGUU